rnacentral:lncRNA from 1 species
GGAGGAGGUUGUGGACGGUGGAGUAGACGGUGACGGAGAAGGAGAGAGGGAGGAGGAAGAGGACGGAGAGGGCGAGGAAGUGGCGGGAGUGGGCGUUGAUGAUUCGUUUUGAUUCGGAUAGGACGGAGGAGAAAUCGAGCUGCUGCGGAGACGCCAUGGUCGUCGUCGUCGGCGGGGGCGGAGGACGAUGAUUGUAGAGAAAAUGAAUUCGCCCGUUAUUAUGGUUGAGUUUAUGGGAGCGUUUUCCGCAGCCGAACCGGACGGCUGAGAUUUGAUUGGGAUGUUGGUGAAUUGCCACGUGUUCGGCUGGAUGUUCUGUGGAUGGUGCCCAUACUAUUUUAUCCAGAAUUUUCUCUUGUCCUUUUCUGUUAUGUCAUAACGGAUAAUUUGCAAAUUUUGGGGCUUUAUGACCUGGGCUUGACGAGUGUUUUGGGCCUUACUGUAGGCGAUGCCGAAGCCCGAAUAAUACAUAGAUUCCGGGUGAGGGACGAGGGUCAAAGGUAGCCGAAAGAAGUGCUAUUAUCGAGGUCCGGGAGUACCCAACGUCAAAGUCGCUUUGCG